ACAGACAUGAACUAAAACUUAAUUCUGAUA
rnacentral:piRNA from 1 species